rnacentral:rRNA from 1 species
CGAGCGAGAACCAGUCCUUCGGGGCUGGGGACAGCGGCGAACGGGUGAGUAACACGUGGGUAAUCUGCCCUCGGCACCGGAAUAGCCCGGGGAAACCCGGAUUAAUGCCGGAUGGCCUCUCUGCCCCUCGGGGCGGCGAGAAAAGGUAGCUUCGGCCUCCGGCCGAGGAUGAGCCCGCGGCCGAUUAGCUUGUUGGUGGGGUAACGGCUCACCAAGGCGACGAUCGGUAGCUGGUCUGAGAGGACGAUCAGCCACACUGGGACUGAGACACGGCCCAGACUCCUACGGGAGGCAGCAGUGGGGAAUCUUGCGCAAUGGGCGAAAGCCUGACGCAGCGACGCCCGUGCGGGAAGAAGGCCUUCGGGUUGUAAACCGCUUUCAGGAGGGACGAAGCCACUCGGGUUAAUAGCCUANAGGGUGACGGUACCUCCAGAAGAAGCCCCGGCUAACUACGUGCCAGCAGCCGCGGUAAUACGUAGGGGGCUAGCGUUGUCCGGAUUUAUUGGGCGUAAAGAGCGUGUAGGCGGCCAGGUAGGUCUGGUGUGAAAACUCGAGGCUUAACCUCGAGAUGUCAUCGGAAACCAUCUGGCUAGAGUCCGGAAGAGGAGAGUGGAAUUCCUGGUGUAGCGGUGAAAUGCGCAGAUAUCAGGAAGAACACCAAUGGCGAAAGCAGCUCUCUGGGACGGUACUGACGCUGAGACCCGAAAGCGUGGGGAGCGAACAGGAUUAGAUACCCUGGUAGUCCACGCCGUAAAC